rnacentral:rRNA from 1 species
AUUGAACGCUGGCGGCAGGCCUAACACAUGCCAGUCGAGCGAGCGGCGGACGGGUGAGUCAUGUAUGGGGAUCUGCCCGAUAGCGGGGGAUCACUACUGGGAACGGUUGCUACUACCGCAUACUCUCGGAUGUACCCAUAUGGGAUUAGCUAGUAGGUGGGGUAAAGGCCCACCUAGGCGACGAUCUCUAGCUGGUCUGAGAGGAUGAUAAGCCACACUGGGACUGAGACACGGCCCAGACUCCUACGGGAGGCAGCAGUGGGGAAUAUUGCACAAUGGGCGCAAGCCUGAUGCAGCCAUGCCGCGUGUAUGAAGAAGGCCUUAGGGUUGUAAAGUACGUUCAGCGGGGAGGCGUUACCCGCAGAAGAAGCACCGGCUAACUCCGUGCCAGCAGCCGCGGUAAUUC